CCCUUAGAUGUUCUGGGCCGCACGCGUGCUACACUGAGUGGAUCAGCGGGUCAGGUUGCGCGAAAGCGUUUCCUAAUCUUUAAAUCCGCUCGUGAUGGGGAUUGACGGUUGCAAUUUUCUGUCAUGAACGAGGAAUACCUUGUAAGCGCGGGUCAUCAUCCCGCGCUGAAUACGUCCCUGCCCUUUGUACACACCGCCCGUCGCUCCUACCGAUUGAGUGGUCCGGUGAGGCUUUGGGAUCUGAGCGGAAAGAGCGUUUCGCUGUUUCUGCUCGGAAAACUCAGUCGAACCUUAUCAUUUAGAGGAAGGAUAAGUCGUAACA
rnacentral:rRNA from 1 species